GCCUGGGUGGCUCAGUCGGUUGAGCAUCCGACUUCAGUUCAGGUCACGAUCUCACAGUUUGUGAGUUCAAGCCCCACGUCAGGCU
rnacentral:tRNA from 1 species